GUUCUAUAGAAAGCCAUUAAGAUAAACUCCUUGAAUAACCGUGUGCCACUUCUUCCUUAUGUCGUGCGAGAAUGGAAUAGAUUCACUAUACAUUUACAAUGACACAGGCAGUGAUGUACAGUAGCAGCCUCUUCUGCCUACUAGCUGGUAACACCUCAGUGUGAGCAUGACCAAUACAGCUUUUUCUCCCAUCUUUCCCAUGCGUUCUAUGUUCCUCCCUCCACUCCACUUUUCCCCUUCUCUUUUAGCUGGUUGCCCAUCCCACGAUGAACACAAUCCGUGCUGCUUUCCCUCCUGUACAUCUUGCCACUCCCAUUCUGGACCCCAGCAGCUGCCCUCUGAAUGGACCAUUAAUGGCUGGUGGAAAAUGGACAGCAGAGCUUACUUGGACAAUCAUCUUAGGAUACAUCUUACUGAAAUGUGGCACAUGAAAGAAAUUUUGGGGGAGUUCCACUUCUUCAUACAGUUAAGCCUGGACAUAUUUUUCUAUUUUAAAUUUUCCAAUGAUUUGUAAAAGGGAGGAUUAAAUUGCUGUAGGGCGUAUUAAGUAUUACAGUUCCGUUAAACUUGAAUGAAGCAAUGUAAAUCUGGAACACAUUUAAUAAAUCUGCAGCUUGAUAAGCAACCUUUCCUUGCUGAAUCUGACAUUCCAUUGCACUAAUCAGCCAUGUGAAAGAGCUGAUGAUAAUUCUUUUAUUCUUUUGAACUUUCUCACCCAAGAACUUGAAACAGCUGCAAGCUUCUUUUUCCCUUGGCUCCAUAUAAUUUAAAACUACUUCCAUAACCUUCUGACAAAGAGCGUCCAAGCUGGGUGCUGUUGAAUCUGACGAGAAGUCUGUCCCAGAGUAGCACAUGGAUCCACAUUCCAGACAUUUUUAAAUCAGAGUGUGUGACUACACCAAGUUCAGGUUGGAGAUGGAAGCCACAGAGAAAGGCAUCUGCUUACUUUUACUCAGCAUGUGGACUUUGGAGAUGGAAGUCAUACCAAGAGGGCACCUGGCUGUUCUGACUCCUCAGGAGGUGGAAGGAAUGAAGAGAGAAAAGCUAGGUCAUCCAGAACAACCUAAGAGAGGUUUGAGUCUUUAGUUAAACUUCUUCCUACAUAACUGAAGGGAACUGAAGAACUGAAAAUUCUCCCAUAUUUGAAGAGACCAGAGGACAUCUCAAAGGUGAUCCGUCUUUAAGCGACCAAUGCAAGUCUCAGCAAAGUCAAUGGGAGUUGGAUCGGGCCCUGUGAGAGGCUAUUGUGAAAUGCUGUUAUUUAAAUACUAGAAAUCAGUCUUAGAAUCAUAGGACUGGAAGGGACCUCGAGACGUCAUCUAGUCCAGUCCCCUGUCUUUGAUGAAUAACAAUUAUUUUGGAAGUGUUUUCCCUUUUGUUAUGAUGUGUAUAUAGUGCGACUCUUUUGCAUUUUUGAUCCCUUGUGGGUUUUGUAGCUAUAUAACUCAUACAAUUUUGUUAGAUGUAACAAGAAAUUUGUUCUGUAAUUUUCCUCACAUUGUGCCCGCUGCUUAGAGCAAGUAAAGGUAAUUAAGGAGGGAAGGAAGCUGGCUAAUGCAACCACCCUGAAAGCUCACUCCUAGCACAUCAUCGAUGGGUACGAUCACAAGCCUAAUACUUACAUGUGUUUAUACACAUAUAUAAAAAUAAGGGCUAUUUGGUGGAAGCUUAAUUUUCCCUGUAAAUAUGAAACUUAUAUGCUUAUUAUAAUCAGCAUUUUGUCUGCUGCAGUCAGCUGGGACAAAAUUAAAUUUUCUCUUGGAAGUGACCUAGAAGGAACACAUAACAAGUGAAGGCUCAUCAAUAUCACAGAUAGAUGCAUAAUUUCAGCCAGCACGGGCCAUGGUUACUAAAGCCUAGUUUAUCUUUUUACCUUUGCCUGUGGUCACCCAGUGAAAGGAUCUAAGAGAUGAACAACUGAAAAAAACAAGCUCCAAUUCCUUCAUUUAACAAUAUCAUCUUGCAGAAAACUGUUCAUGUCACUAGACUGUCAAUAAAACACGCAAUAAUUUUUUGUGGGCCAGCUGUCAAUAAUACUUUACAUAACACAAUGUAUAUAGAAUGCUUUAUAUAGAAUUAUGUGGUAAGGUGCUUAAAGAGUUAAUGUUGUAGGUCUCCCCAGACCCAGAAGGGAUGCUGUCUCACUUCCAGGGUUAUUUGUAAAGCAAUCACACAUGCAUCUCUGUGCACUUGGUUUCUGCCUGUACCACAGCCUGACACAUACUGAUGUUUGCUUCUGAUAUGAAAGUCUAAUCAACUGUUAAGAAUAAAGGAAACACCCGUUUCAAGUCA